rnacentral:rRNA from 1 species
ACGCUCGACACUACGAGGCAGCAGUGGGGAAUAUUGCACAAUGGGGGAAACCCUGAUGCAGCGACGCCGCGUGAGCGAAGAAGUAUUUCGGUAUGUAAAGCUCUAUCAGCAGGGAAGAAACUGACGGUACCUGACUAAGAAGCACCGGCUAAAUACGUGCCAGCAGCCGCGGUAAUCUGAGCGGGCUGGCAAGGC